rnacentral:rRNA from 1 species
AGUGAACGCUGGCGGUAUGCCUAACACAUGCAAGUCGAGCGGCAGCACGAUAAGAUCUUUCCCUUACGGGUGGCGGCUGGCGGACGGGUAACGAGUGGAUCAGAUACUUCUAUGUCUGGGGUAAUUUCGUGGGAAAGCUUACGCUAAUACCGCAUAUGACCUACCGCUUAGAUCAGUAGUUCUUCGCGGCUUUGCUGACUGUUUUAGCCGAAUCCGCGUCGGAUUAGCUAGUGGGUAAGGUAACGGCACACCAAGGCGACGAUGCGUAGCUGAGCUGAGAGGAUGAUCAGCCACACUGGAACUGAGACACGGUCCAGACUCCUACGGGAGGCAGCAGUGGGGAAUCUUGGGCAAUGGGCGAAAGCCUGAUGCAGCCACACCGCGUGGGUGAAGAAGGCCUUCGGGUUGUAAAGCCCUGUUGUUGGGAAAGAACAGCAGCAGAUUAAUACACCGCUGUUCUGACGGUACCCAAAGAAAAAGCAACGGCUAACUUCGUG